AGGCGCGUAGCUCAGUUGGUUAGAGCACCACCUUGACAUGGUGGGGGUCGAUGGUUCGAAUCCAUUCGCGCCUACCA
rnacentral:tRNA from 1 species